CGUAGGGUGCGAGCGUUAAUCGGAAUUACUGGGCGUAAAGUGUGCGCAGGCGGCCGAGCAAGUCGAGUGUGAAAGCCCCGAGCUUAACUUGGGAACUGCGCUCGAAACUACUUGGCUAGAGUGUGGCAGAGGGAGGUGGAAUUCCGCGUGUAGCGGUGAAAUGCGUAGAGAUGUGGAGGAACACCGAUGGCGAAGGCAGCCUCCUGGGCCAACACUGACGCUCAUGCACGAAAGCGUGGGGAGCAAACAGGAUUAGAUACCCUGGUAGUCCACGCCCUAAACGAUGAUGACUAGUUGUUGGAGGAGUUAAAUCCUUUAGUAACGCAGCUAACGCGUGAAGUCAUCCGCCUGGGGAGUACGGUCGCAAGAUUAA
rnacentral:rRNA from 1 species